ACUUGCAUCAGUUACAUCUCACGCUUAUAUACACUUAUCAGUAAAAACAACUUGUAACUAAUUACACUAAACAGAUUAUAAGAUCUAUCUAAACUUCAUAAACAUGCACACGGUCUGUAUUACAACAAACUUAACCACCUAUGAUGAGCUGUCAAUAGAGCUGUUCCAUUGCUCAGUCACCUUUGAUGACAUGGCAUUUCUGACACGUGUAGCUUUGAGUUCAGUCUUCUUGUACUCUGAAUAAUGAGCUGCCUUAGCGUUCAUCAAAGACAGACAUCUUAAACAUGCAUCGAUUACAUGCCUCAACAGAUAUCCCCAUAUGUGACAAUACACAACUGACCAAAUAUAACCAAUGACAAUUUGACACAUAAGUCAACUUAACCUCGUGGUCUGCCGAUCGAGUGAGGAAGACGGAAGAGAAUUAACUAGUCUGAUUACGUAAGUAAUGGAAACAUGGCGCAUUUAUGUUGAACCAAUUCCUAGUCUUGGUGAAAACCGGCUUGAUGAAUUUGUUGUAAAUCCAACGAACAGGAUCCAUGAUCAAUCUGCCACCUUGAAAGACAACAAGGAAAAUAGCUGCGGAGAGCCAAGCAAUGCCUAAGAUGAC
rnacentral:lncRNA from 1 species